CUCAUUUGUUUUUUUUUUUUCUAAGGGGCUAGGGUUAACCCUAGCCACCGCCCCUGUUCCACCACCUACUCGCCACUGUUCUGGUCGUGUCCCAUCGGUUGGAGGCGCAAAACGUGGAGGAGAGGAUGAAGCAUUUAAAGCUUCGUCCUUCUCUCACCAGAAAUCGUCCAAACAGGCCCUUAAUGUUUUUGUUCUUCAAAUCCGUUCUUGGUCUUGGCUGCGUCCAAAAAAGGUAACUCUUUAUCUUGUUAGUGACUUUGUUAAUUUCGCUUAUUUCUUUAUAAUGGCUAUUUAGUUAAAUGUUAAUUUGGUAAUUUCUGUUGGUUUCUUGGUUAUUUUCAUGGUAGUUAUUUAAUUAGCCUAGUGAUUCCUGUUAAUUUAUUGCUCAUUCUUGUGGUGGUCGUUUAGUAAAAUUUAACUUGUUAAUAUCUGUAAACUUACUUAUUUUUUAUAGUUACUUAGUUAGAGAACAACCUUUGUUGACUCUUGUUAAAACCUACUGUCUAUUCUUUGUGUGAUAUGGUGAGUGACUUAAUUGAAUGUUAUCUUGUGUGCUGAUUUGGUCCAUGUAUCUUGCUGUUUCAUUCCAAUAAUUAUAGUAAGUUAUUAGUGAAUCUCCUAGUCUCAUUUUACUAACCUGUUGGUCUUUUAAAUAGUUCUGGUAAGGUGCUUUUGUGAUAAUUGUCAAUUGUGAUUUCAUUGCUUACUUAGAUGAUGAAGUAUGAGUUUUAAAUAAAGGGUGAUAUGGUUUAAUCUCACUGGUCCCUACUGAUUCAAACUAGUUGUUGUGAAUCACUUAGUCUAGACAUCACCUAGAGUUCAAGUUUGCCAGUUACUUUCCUAAUUUGAAUGAUUGUCAUAAGAGUGUUUAGUCAAACCAGGAUAGGCAUUAAGCUGUCAACUUAUUUGUCCAUUAAAACAAGUAGAGUUAGUUGUUCGGUUAAAAAAGAAUGGUGAGUAGGUUUGGUGUGUUGGCUCACUGAUCACAUAGGUAUGAAAAUUGGGUAAGGAGUGAUUGUGGGAAGGUUUAAGUCUAGAAUGGUUUCUGUUGUUAGUUCACUCACUAAUGUUUGCCUUACUAAAUGGAUCUGCAAUGGGUCUAGUUUGCUAGCCUAAGUUAUUCACAUAAUUAUAAAAAUGUGCCUUUGAGUGUUUGCUUGGUUAAUCAAGAACUAAGUAAUAAAAAAUGUGAAGUUCUAUGUCAUUUCUUCUUUUCUCCAAAAAUUUGUUUUGUGAUGAAGUUGUUUUGGGUUAACAUUGGCUAACUAAAAAAUGGAAAAGGGUCAGUCUAUAUGCUAAUCUUUGUAUCACUAGGUCCUUUGUACUUUUUUUUUCUUUUUCUAGAGAGUAGACUAUGGCUUGUAACGUUUUAUAACACAUUGUGCUUUGACUGCCUCGGUGUCAUGGUUGCAAAAAUGACAUCUUAAACUUUGAAGCCUGACAUCUAUUUUACUCAAAGUACCAAAACAGGUUCACAUAUUUCUCUGCCUAGGUCUGAGUGGAGUUAGUUUCCUUUUUCUACCUUACACCUAUGUGUUUAAUCACUAAGAAGAUGCUUUGGUGAGUGUUCUGUGGUUUCAGUUGAUCGUUUUCAUGUCUAUGUGAUGCUAUGGCCUUUGUUGCCCCUGUUGGUUCUGUCUUGCCUGCUAUGUCUGUUCUUGACAUUACUGUCUGAAUUUCCAGAAGUUGUGUACCUAAAGUCACUCAUUUUUAGGAAGGGCAUCAAGUUGGGAGGGGGCCUGAACCACUUAACUUUAGGAUGUUGUCCAUUUUUCUUCUUUGUCAAGGUUUCUUUUUUGUGGUCUUUCUUGUCUGUCCUAAAUCCAUCCCUGGACUUCCUCAGAUUUUUGUUUGCUUAUUUUUAACUGGAUGACAAGUUUAUUUGAACUUUUUUUUUUACUGCAAGCUGCUUCCUAAGUUGCAAAUUCCAGCUAGAGUAUAAUGAUGAAAUAGUUAACCCAGUCUGUGACCUGAUGUAGCUCUCAUCUUUGACCAUUCUUGAGACCUUGACUUAGUAUUACUCCUGCAUUUCUCUAGGUUACACUAGGACUAGAUGGCACACAUUUGCUUUGUUUUAUUUUGUUGUCUGAAAUAUUGUUUGAACCCCAGUUGUCUAUUAUUGUGUGUGUUGUUUCUUUGCUUAUACUUUGUCUUGUCUCCCUCCCAUGGCAUAGAGCUAGGACCAAACUGUUGUGAGUCGUUUGAAGGUCCCAGCCUGGUGUUUUACUUACUCUAUACCUAUGUGACAUUGCCAUUGACCCUGUCCUCAUUUGCACCUGUGGAGUGAAACUUUUUUUUUUAUAUGAUCAUGCUCUGACCUUGUCUUAGCUGCUGUAUCUGUGUGUGUGAUUCAUGACCUCCAUACCCUUCCUCCAGGACCUACAUCUAUUUUUCUGCUUGCUAGCUUCACUUGUAUGCUUGCCUUUGUCUUCUUUUACCCCUAGGGCCAUGAGCUGCAUCCCCAUACUACUCUGUGCUACUGUGUCCUUUUGGCUUUUUCAUGACACUCCUGCUCCUUUUGACUUGUUUUCUUGUGUGCUUUUAUCCUCUCGUGUUUCUCAUCCUAGUUGAAACACUCUGUAUGCUGGUUUUGUGUAAUCACAUGACCUCCAAGGCACUUCAUCUUACUUAGUAUUGUCAACUACACUUGGUCAUACACCCUGUGACUAGAACUUAAUCCCUAUAUUGCUUGCAUGAGUGUGUUGAGUUCUUAGUCAAGCUGCAGUGCUAUUGUUUACUCCAAACCCAUGAUGAGUCUGCUACUGUGCCUCCUCAUACUUGAGAGUAUUCACCUCUGCAUCCUUACUGUGUGAAAUCACACUGCCCUUAGCUCUGCAUUGAUGUCUUAAGUUGGUUGUCAACCUAAUUUUCCUUUGCCCAUCCCUGAGAUGCCAUGACAUAGCUGUCACCCUGUAGUACUCAUUUGACUCUCUUCAAUCUGUUUUAGUCUGUGAUCCUGGUUGAUGCUCGUACUCCUCUGAAUAAGUUUAAACAUACCUCUUUUCAUUUUAGUGUGAAUACUUGACAUACCUCCCUAAGUCUAGUUAUAUUUGGCUUAACUGGUUGAGGUUUGCUGCCAUCUGCUAGAUAUGAGAUGCUUCUCUUUGAAUUAAGUUUGUCAUUGAAUUUUAAGGUGCACCUUUACCCAUCAUGUUUGUCUUCUAAUCACAUGUACCCACUGCUUAUACUUUCUUUUACUAUUCAAUGUUACCUGCUAUUGCUGAGACUCUAAGUCCACUCAUGAGAUGGUCUUUGUUUGGUUUGUUUUGCUUGUCCUUGGCAACUGCCUGUCUUCUUCCCUUUUGCCUUUGUUUGCAACUGCUGGUGCUUGUUUGCCUUUGCCCCUUUAAAGAAAUUGUGUUUGAUUUGUCAAGUUCCAUUUUGUGACAUCAAGGUUCUUUAUAAUGUCUGCUUCAGUGUGUAUACUUGUAUACUGCUCCCUGGCUGCUUAUUGAAAUUGCACCAACUCCUAGCAUAUUAUUUGAAUGUCCUUAGCAUUUAUGGUUCUGUGCUCUCUCUGUCCUCUCUCAAUAAGACCCAAAUAAAUCUUAUAUACAUGUGUGUGUAUGUGUGUAUACUUUAUCUUAUAUACAUGCAUGUGUAUUUAUAACUUUAGUCAUUUACCUUAGUGAUAAGUUCAACGAUUAUAAACUAACCGGUGUUUUUCUUUUCUCUCCUCCUCGUCCUACCACGCGGCCGCUCGGGUCACAAAUGCAUAAAACCACCCCUUAGGCCUAAGGCCCAAGUGGGAAUACUACUUCAAAAUAGAGUCCGGGAAGACAAAAAAGAUAGUGAGGCGCGCAGAAGGCCCAACCAUGGGUGAAAAUGGCCAACUAGGGGCUUGUUACGCCCCUAGUCUAACUUAGUCUCUAUAUAUUUAUUUGUUGACUCAUUUCUAACUUGAUGUACUUGUAAAAAUGUGUAUUCAAACUCAUAUUAUAGUGGAAAAUCCUUAUGAUUGGAAUUAGAUGUCUCAGGACAACGGUUCUUAUGCCGUUUAUUUGA